rnacentral:lncRNA from 1 species
UAUGUCGCCCAUAAGCAUUACGUACACAAUAUAUGUGCUAGAGAAAACACAUCAAUACAAAAGCCACCUUCAGAUCAGAAGGCCAGCUGAACUACAACAUGACUCAGUACCCUCCACUUUUCACUUCUAUAGACAUAGUCGAGCUGAGCUAUCACCCACAAAGCCAGCCAUCUACUAGGAACUCCUUUUUUUGCAGGUGAGCCAUCUACUAGGGACUAUGUACUCACAGUAGGAUCCAAGCCGACAUGAACAUCCCACAAAUAAGUACUCACAUCCUCCACCUCAGAUCCUACUGUUAGAACAACCUCUACACCAGAGAACGAGCAUUGCCAUCUGAGGUGCUGUCCCCUGAGCUCCCUGACCCUGAUCCUGUAAACAGAGUCAAAUGUGAAACAUUGUAGGAAGUUUAAUUCAUGAAGAUUAAACGAUGUUUCUCAAAAAGGGGAAGAAUAAACAGUGGGUUCGGCAGUACCACUGGAUGACGAAGAUCCACUACCCGAACCACCAGAGACACUCAUGAC